ACAAACUUGGUCAUUUAGAGGAAGUAAAAGUCGUAACAAGGUUUCCGUAGGUGAACCUGCGGAAGGAUCAUUAACGAAACAAACUUGUUGAGAUGGCGAGGAAAUUUCCCAAAAGUUUUCCUUUGCCAAACCACGGUUCUGCCCGCCACGAAUACCAACCGGCAUACUGUCAAGGUGAUGCCGGAAGGGGACUGGCGGGCUCAUCCGUUUCAACCCUAUCUGUGAACCAAUAACAAAACCUUUGCUUCGGCAGCACGCUAACCCGCUGACGUCUUUAGGGGCGUGGCGGGUCGGGCGGUAAGGCUGCCAGAAGCCCCCCAUUUUCAAACCAGUUGUUGCCAAAACCUAUUGAAGUCUGAACAGAUAAAGUCAUCUCGUAUGGCAAAAUCUUAUUAAAACUUUCAGCAACGGAUCUCUUGGUUCCCGCAUCGAUGAAGAACGCAGC
rnacentral:misc_RNA from 1 species